UACGUAGGGUGCAAGCGUUGUCCGGAAUCAUUGGGCGUAAAGCGCGCGUAGGUGGCCAUUUAAGUCCGCUGUGAAAGUCAAAGGCUCAACCUUUGAAAGCCGGUGGAUACUGGAUGGCUAGAGUACGGAAGAGGCGAGUGGAAUUCCUGGUGUAGCGGUGGAAUGCGUAGAUAUCAGGAGGAACACCGGUGGCGAAGGCGGCCCUCUGGACGGAUACUGACGCUGAGGCGCGAAAGCGUGGGGAUCAAACAGG
rnacentral:rRNA from 1 species